rfam:Ictidomys tridecemlineatus contig041717, whole genome shotgun sequence.
GCGGUUGUGGCUCAAUGGUAGAGUGCUUGCCUAGCAUGCAUAAGGCACUGGGUUCGAUCCUCAGCACCACA